UUUAAUUUCCUGCUGUAAUUCAUUGUAUCACUAUUUUAUUCCACAAAUCAUGUGUACAUGACUUUUAAAUAGCUUGUGAUAUACACUAGAAAACAGAGACAUUCAUUCUUCUCUAGACUCUAAUACUUGAUUUUAUUUGAUUUUAAGGUGGUACCCAACACUUUCACUAAAACUAAUUUGGCUCGUUUAAUUUUCAUAAAAUUUUGUCAAAAUAUUUACUUUGACCCUUUAACAAAAAUAUAAAAAUUUAAAAAUUUUGAACCAACCGUUUUGUCAGAAAAAUUACACUGGUUAUAUAGUAGUUUGACAAACAUCAAUUUUGAUCAUUGAGAAGCUUAAUAUUCCUUUUACAACACAAUGUAAUUAAAACGUUUAGCUGACUUUACAGAGUUAUCUUCCUGUAGUGUUAGGUACCACCUUAAUGUGAAUAAUGGAGGUGUGUGUUGUAUUCAUAUUUAUUUGUUUUUUGGUAAGUUUUAUUUAACUAUGGGUUGCAGACUGAAUUAGUACUUUUUUUCCAUUUAAUUUACAUAGUUAAAUGAAUUUUGCUUGCUGUUUUGAGGGGCAGUUAAAUCAAGUGUUUAUUUAUGUGUUGAAGGAAAUUUUUAUUUUUGGUACUAAAUGAUUUUUGUGGUUGUAUGUUGUAUAUUAUAUAUAUCACAUUUUCUGUUGUAUUAUUUUAAAUUAAGGGAAACCUUGAAAUAUCUGACCAAAUUCUAUAUACAAGCCUCAUAUGAUACAAAAAGAAGAUGUGGUAUGAUUGCCAAUGAGACAACUCUCCACGAGAGAACAAAAUGACACAGAAAUGAACAACUAUAGGUCACCAUAGGACCUUCAACAAUGAGUUUUUCUUUUUUUACAAUUUUUCACUGUUCUCUUCUCCCUAAAGGACUUCCUUCCAUUGUUUUCACAGAUAUCAGUUUUUAUAAAUUUUGGAAAGAUUUUCUUUAAAUUUGAUUUUAUGCAUCAAAAGCAUUCUACAUUGAAAUUUUUAUGAAAUUGGUAUUGUUGACAAACAUUUCAAGUGUGGUUCACCUAUUUCUAAGACAUGCAAGGAAAUUAGAACCUCAUGACCUCAGAAUAUUUUGUGUGGUUCAUCUAGCUUUCUUCAUUUUAUGUAAAUUUAUUUGUUAUUCCUUAGAUAUUGCCACAAAUUUAAAUGUCAAAUAAAGUGCUCCCUUUUCUAUAGGCCUGUAUGUAUACUUUGUCAAAACAAUGAAAUUAGAUAGAGCGGAAUAAACAGUAUUCCUUGAAUCCACAGAAAUUUGUAUCUGGGAAAAUAAGUGAAACAAUAUUGAACGAAAUUGACCAUUGUCCAGUUGUGUAUGUACAUUUUGAUCAUCUUUUUAAUGUGGCAUAAAUAUAUUUAUAUGGAUGUAUUGAUCUUUGUCAAGUUUUUUGGUAAAAUAAAAUCAAGUCAUUUGUAUGUCUUUGAUUAUUUUAAAUUUUGUUUAUCAUUUUUUUAAAUAAAAUGUGUACAAAUAAAGCUAACAGCAUGAAACAAAGCA
rnacentral:lncRNA from 1 species